UUAUUUCCUAAAUCACCCUCAUUUUUCAUGUUAAAAAUGAAUGUUAAGGAUAAUUUGGAUAACUCAGCCAUUUUAGACUCAUUAAUUUCAAAACACUCCCUAUUAAUUAGCAGGCCUAUUUUUGUCUCCAGAUAUCCCCCAAAACAUUUGCAACGAAACAUUUUUCAUUCUUUUCAGACACUUGCCAAGAUAAGUUUGAUUGUACUAUUUUCCCCUGAGUUUUCAAAAAGAUGUCUUAUUUCUUACUAAACUUCUUUGUUAAAGCAGAGAUUUUUAUGUCAUUAUUUCAUAUUCAAAUCAAUCAUUAAAGUUGUCAUUGUAGGAAAAGGAUAGAUACUGAGAUCUGAGCUCUUCUAACUCCCUGUCUUGAUCAUUUGGCUAAUGCUCAUCCAAAAGAAAGAUUAUUUAUGUUUUAGAGACAAACAUUUAAAUGAACCAAUUAUGAGCAAUAUCUAAAUCUAAAGUUUAGCUAAGGACGCAUACAUGCACACAUACUCACAUAUAAAUACAUGUUUAUACUCUUUGAAUGGUGACAUAAAAACUGAAAAUUGAAGAGGAUUCCAUCAUUAGGUGAAUGAUUUGACAAUUUGAUAUAUUAAUGUGGUAGAAUAACAGUGUGCUUUUAGAAAUGAUAGAGAUGGUUUCAGAGAAAUUUAGGAAGACUUGUUUGAAUCUGAUGAAAAAUAAAGUGAGCAGUUAUAGAAAAACAAUUCAUAAAAUAACUAAGUUCAUAACCAGCUCUAACAUGUUAAUACAGAAUUAUAAUUACUUUUCUUUCUUCAUCACCAGGGGCAGCUGGAUGGAGUGUAGGCUUCAAAUCGGGGAGACAACUUCAAAUCCAUCCUCAGAUUUCUCUGAAUUGUUUUCCAUAAAGGUUCCUGUCCCUGAAAAGAGAAAAGGGGUUACCUGUAUAGUUGGGACUGGCUGUGGGUCAAAAUCAAAUGUACACCAUGGGAGUGGAGCCAAGAUGGUACAGUUAUCCUCAGAAGUGCUGUGCCACCAUGAGAAUCCUCUCCAUCCAUAA
rnacentral:lncRNA from 1 species